UGGGGGAGUAUUGCACAAUGGGGGAAACCCGUGAUGCAGCAACGCCGCGUGAAGGAAGAAGGUCUUCGGAUUGUAAACUUUUGUCCUUGGUGAAGAUAAUGACGGUAGCCAAGGAGGAAGCUCCGGCUAACUACGUGCCAGCAGCCGCGGUAAUACGUAGGGAGCGAGCGUUGUCCGGAUUUACUGGGUGUAAAGGGUGCGUAGGCGGAAGAGCAAGUCAGUAGUGAAAUCCAUGGGCUUAACCCGUGAACUGCUAUUGAAACUGUUCUUCUUGAGUGAAGUAGAGGUAGGCGGAAUUCCCGGUGUAGCGGUGAAAUGCGUAGAGAUCGGGAGGAACACCAGUGGCGAAGGC
rnacentral:rRNA from 1 species